AAAACUCAAAGGAAUUGACGGGGGCCCGCACAAGCGGCGGAGCAUGUGGCUUAAUUCGACGCAACGCGAAGAACCUUACCAAGGCUUGACAUACACCGGAAAACCCUGGAGACAGGGUCCCCCUUGUGGUCGGUGUACAGGUGGUGCAUGGCUGUCGUCAGCUCGUGUCGUGAGAUGUUGGGUUAAGUCCCGCAACGAGCGCAACCCUUGUCCCGUGUUGCCAGCAGGCCCUUGUGGUGCUGGGGACUCACGGGAGACCGCCGGGGUCAACUCGGAGGAAGGUGGGGACGACGUCAAGUCAUCAUGCCCCUUAUGUCUUGGGCUGCACACGUGCUACAAUGGCCGGUACAAUGAGCUGCGAUACCGCGAGGUGGAGCGAAUCUCAAAAAGCCGGUCUCAGUUCGGAUUGGGGUCUGCAACUCGACCCCAUGAAGUCGGAGUCGCUAGUAAUCGCAGAUCAGCAUUGCUGCGGUGAAUACGUUCCCGGGCCUUGUACACACCGCCCGUCACGUCACGAAAGUCGGUAACACCCGAAGCCGGUGGCCCAACCCCUUGUGGGAGGGAGCUGUCGAAGGUGGGACUGGCGAUUGGGACGAAGUC
rnacentral:rRNA from 1 species